GGCAGUCGUGGCUUAAUGCUUAGUGAGUCGGACUUGUAACCCGAAGGUUGUGGGUUCGAGUCUCAGGUCUGGUA